GGAUUGAGUGAGUGUAAUAGCAUAUCCUGAAGAUAUCUCACCUUUUAAGUGUUCAGUGCCAGAAGUAAACACUGGAGCUUUUUCCCCAUAGCCCCUUUUGGAUCAAACCACUUGCAGAAAGCAAGAAGCCUACACAUGAUGCCAGAGACUUCCUGGUCCUACUGCUGCCACAGUCCAGUGAUGACCUUCUCACUACUGUCACAGUCACACUGAGAAGCUCCCAGGAGAAGCCAGAUGAAGUGUGGAAAAGAGUAGAGAGCCUUGAGACAUAGCAGGGAAAGCCAUGUGCUCAACCUCUUUUCUGCCA
rnacentral:lncRNA from 1 species